CUUCUUCUUCUUCUCUCUCUCUCUUUGUAGCUCUCGCUCUUUACUGCAAUCCAAACUGAAUCCAGAUUGUUAAAUUAUCCACUGCUAGUGGUGUACAGUAAUUUGAGUUUCAGGUUUCAACUUGGUAAAGUAUUGGGACAAGAGUAACACCUGUUCUGUUAUGUGCAUUUGCGAAGUGACAUCAAGUUGGUAAUCUCUUUCUGAGAUUCUAUGCUUCUGUCAUUUCCAGUUGUGUUGGUGGACUUAGAUGGAUGUUUCCUCAACAAAGCGGGACUCUGAAAGUAAAACUGAAACCUUCCCAUUGUUAAUGGAGAGACCUGAGAGUCUUAACAGUAGUGAGCACAUUAUUGACAUACCAAGAAGCAGUGUUGCCUCCCCAUCAACAUCUCAUGAUAGAACUUCUAGUGGUUUGGAAGCCUCGCCUCUUGAAAACAGAUCUUCAACCAGUGUGAGAACACCCAUUUCUCAACCUUCAACAUUUUCAUCUAACGGACCAAACACCCAGAACUCAUCCUUUGUAAGGAGAGGUGAAGCUCGUCGACGCAGGAGCCCGUUGAACUCUGGUUUAUGGAUUUCUGUUGAAUUGGUACUCACUAUUAGCCAGAUUGUUGCAUCGAUUGUUGUUUUGUCUGUGUCAAGGAAUGAGCAUCCACGAGCUCCAUUGUUUGAAUGGAUUGUUGGUUAUGCAUCUGGAUGUGUUGCAACCCUUCCUCUUCUUUAUUGGCGUUACCGACAACGCAGCCAGGUUUUGGGGCAAGAUUCAGCUCAACCUCGUCAAGGUUCUACGCAUAUUAGUGUUCCAGCAGGACCCUAUUCUGUAUCAGUCAGCAGAAAUUCAGAAGCAGAUGAUCACCGAACUGCUGUUACGUCACCUAGAGGUGGUCAAAAUGUUGGAGCAGUAAAUGCAAGACUCAAGACUCUGGUUGAAUACUUCAAAAUGGCUCUUGAUUGUUUUUUCGCAGUUUGGUUUGUGGUUGGCAAUGUGUGGAUAUUUGGAGGGCAUUCCUCUGCUAGUGAGGCUCCAAACAUGUAUAGGUUAUGUAUAGUGUUUCUUACCUUUAGCUGUAUUGGAUAUGCUAUGCCCUUCAUUUUGUGUGCAACGAUCUGCUGCUGCUUGCCUUGUAUAAUUUCUCUUCUUGGGUUUAGAGAGGAUCUGGGGCAAACCAGAGGAGCCACAGCGGAAUCAAUUGAUGCCUUACCAACAUACAAGUUUAAGGAGAAUCAAAAUAGAAAUUGUGAUGAUGGAGAUAGCAACUGGGGUGCUGGUGAUGGUGGAAUUGUGGCUGCGGGAACAGAACAGGAGCGUGUGAUCUCUGGGGAAGAUGCGGUUUGCUGCAUUUGUUUGGCAAAAUAUGCAAACAAUGAUGAGCUGAGGGAGUUACCCUGUUCGCAUUUUUUCCACAGGGAGUGUGUGGAUAAGUGGCUGAAGAUCAAUGCUUCCUGUCCUCUUUGCAAGAGUGAGGUCUGUGAAAGUUUUAUGGGUUCACUCUCUGGAUCAAAUUCUGGUCAGCAACGGGUUGAGGGUAGGGUGGGCAAUGGCUUGGCCAGUACCAUGUUUUGAUCUUCAUCAUGGAAAAAGGGAGCCAGUUUCAAUUGGAUACUUUUCAGUGGAGGUGAUACCUAUCUCAGGUUCUCCACUAAAGAAAGUGCCUUGCAAGUAACUGUUUAAAUGGGUAAGAGAAAAGAUGGGAAUGCUUCCUACUUCCUGGAGAAAUGGAGAUAAAUUCAGUGACCUUUCCUCUUUUGAUGCUUUGGAAUUGGGAGAGUGGAUGCCAAGUUGUCUGUUUGUGGUAGUUUUGCACGCAAGUUGAGAUGGUUCUCUGGAAAGGACAUCCAUUUUUGAAGACCUGUUUGUGGUUGAUUGAUAGUUUGUCUUUUGAGUUUGGAGUUAUUGUAACUCUGUGGGGGUUCUCUUUAUGGUUGAGGCGGUAAGCAUCUCUAGGGUCACAAAGCAUGUUCAGCUAUUGAAUGAUCAACCCUGCAGACUAAAAGAGAGACUUUAAUUAGCGAGUGGGCUUUGCUCGAUGCCAUCCUCUCGAAGCCUAGAUCUUUGGCUUGCUUGUUGAUCUCGAGGUUAUAUUACCAACAGGGAUGCUGGGCUUUAGUAGGCGUUUGCUUGAUGCUUCGUUAGUUCAGACUAAGCUCUUGUUACAGACAUCCGCAUCUUUUUUUUCCUUCUUGUCGAUCCAAUUCUGAUUCAAAGAGGGCAACAGCGUGGAGGAAGACUUGCAUCUUCUCCUUAGGAAUUUUUAAGGUUUCUA
rnacentral:misc_RNA from 1 species